rnacentral:rRNA from 1 species
GUGACCAGCGGAGGGAUCAUUA